GUGGGGAAUUUUGGACAAUGGGGGAAACCCUGAUCCAGCCAUCCCGCGUGUGCGAUGAAGGCCUUCGGGUUGUAAAGCACUUUUGGCAGGAAAGAAACGUCAUGGGUUAAUACCCCGUGAAACUGACGGUACCUGCAGAAUAAGCACCGGCUAACUACGUGCCAGCAGCCGCGGUAAUACGUAGGGUGCAAGCGUUAAUCGGAAUUACUGGGCGUAAAGCGUGCGCAGGCGGUUCGGAAAGAAAGAUGUGAAAUCCCAGAGCUUAACUUUGGAACUGCAUUUUUAACUACCGAGCUAGAGUGUGUCAGAGGGAGGUGGAAUUCCGCGUGUAGCAGUGAAAUGCGUAGAUAUGCGGAGGAACACCGAUGGCGAAGGCAGCCUCCUGGGAUAACACUGACGCUCAUGCACGAAAGCGUGGGGAGCAAACAGGAUUAGAAACCCCAGUAGUCC
rnacentral:rRNA from 1 species